rnacentral:rRNA from 1 species
UACGGGGGGAGCAAGCGUUGUUCGGAUUUACUGGGCGUAAAGGGCGCGUAGGCGGUCGUGACAAGUCACUUGUGAAAUCUCCGGGCUUAACUCGGAACGGUCAAGUGAUACUGUCGGACUAGAGUACAGAAGGGGCAACUGGAAUUCUCGGUGUAGCGGUGAAAUGCGUAGAUAUCGAGAGGAACACCUAUGGCGAAGGCAGCUCGCUGGGACGUUACUGACGCUGAGACGCGAAAGCGUGGGGAGCAAACAGG